AACGGGUGAGUAACGCGUGAGGAACCUGCCUCAAAGAGGGGGACAACAGUUGGAAACGACUGCUAAUACCGCAUAAGCCCACGGGUCGGCAUCGACCAGAGGGAAAAGGAGCAAUCCGCUUUGAGAUGGCCUCGCGUCCGAUUAGCUAGUUGGUGAGGUAAUGGCCCACCAAGGCGACGAUCGGUAGCCGGACUGAGAGGUUGAACGGCCACAUUGGGACUGAGACACGGCCCAGACUCCUACGGGAGGCAGCAUG
rnacentral:rRNA from 1 species